rnacentral:rRNA from 1 species
UACGAAGGGGGCUAGCGUUGCUCGGAAUCACUGGGCGUAAAGGGUGCGUAGGCGGGUCUUUAAGUCAGGGGUGAAAUCCUGGAGCUCAACUCCAGAACUGGCCUUUGAUACUGAAGAUCUUGAGUUCGGGAGAGGUGAGUGGAACUGGCGAGUGUAGAGGUGAAAUUCGUAGAUAUUCGCAAGAACACCAGUGGCGAAGGCGGACUCACUGGC